UUUGCAUGAACUAUAAUUUUUGGGUGAUUAACGUGCAUGAACUCUAUAUAUUCCUUUCAGAGUCUUAACAUUUACCCCGAACAAGCUAUGGAUAUAAAAGAAGAAUGUGUUUAAAAGGACGUGUUGAAGACAGCCGAGUCAUUUGGUCGCUGAGUUGGAGUCGGGUCGAAAGAUUGUCGUGAAAGUUGGUUGAUGGUAGAGCUUGAAUACCGCGAGGAAGAAGUUUUGGCCUUCUGAAGAUUCGUUGUAAAUGUUGGGAAUGAGAAUUGGAUUAUCGGAAUAUCGUUCUUUCGCCCAAGAAAUGCGAAGAAAAUACAUCGAAGCAGAUAAGGAUUUAAUAGUUCUUCAAUCAACUUAAAGAUGUUAGAAGACGUCAAGAAAAAAUAAAAAAUUAAAGUGACGAAAAAACGCACCAAAAAAGGGAUACCUUACCUUACCUUACCUUACCUUACCUUACCUUACCU